GGCUGGUCCGAAGGUAGUGAGUUAUCUCACGUGAUUGUUCACAGUCAGUUACAGAUUGAACUCCUUGUUCUACUACUUUCCCCCCUCCUCACUACUGCACUUGACUAGUCUUUA
ensembl:misc_RNA Y_RNA Y RNA